CAGGAACUUACGCACCAAAUCCACCAGGAUGGUGCCUCCACGGUCCAUAGCAAUUGAAGUGUCCUUCAGGAAACCUGAGUUGGAGGUGACACCUUUGGGGAAAGACAGAGAAACACAAGAGGUGUGACAGGAGAGUGAAGAAAGCUCAUGCAGGCCAGCGCAGGAGGGAGCACAGCUGUUUAAGUAUCAUUCAAUCCAGCACGGGCUGGAGUUGAGCAAAGCACAGUAAGAACAAACAGCAGCAUAUGGAGCUCAGAGAUUUCAGCCUUCAUGUAGAAUUUCACACUUUUAUUCUGCAGCAUCUGAAACAAGGAAGACGAAUUACCCCAGCCCAAAAUAGCUUUUCUCAUCAAUGUUCUAUCCCUGAUUAAUUCAACAGUUACACAUUCCUUCCCUUCCAGAAACCCUGGCAGAUAGCUGGGCCACUGGCCAGCUCUGCCCACUAGGGUUCUCCGAGUAUCACCCCACCUCUCCAAGCGGGUCCUGUGGAUCAGAGAGCUAGCAUCUCCUACAGCUGAUGGAGGAACAGCCCUGCUGCCUUCUGGGCCCCCAGUCUGUGCGCAGCACAUAAGACUUAUAGAAAGAGACCUUCUAAAAAUGUUAAAAUGUGUUACUGGCAUGUGGAACCUUACAUUAGAAUGAAUAAACCAAGAUUCAGCAC